CCUAAAUUAAAAAAAAAAAUGAUUAAAAGAGGGCUGCACUAAUUAUUUUAUGCACAUGUCGAAGUAUGGUAAGAUAAAACAUUUUUUAAAUAAAGGAGCAAAAUUCUGUUACAAACUAGCUUAGUCACAUGAUAUAAACCAUGGUAGAUAUGAGUUUCCAUAUAACUGAAAAUGAUAUAAUGAAAGCACCACACUUCUAACUAAGGCUCCAUAGGAUACCCUUAUUCCUAUCACACAUCACAUAAAAACACCCACAAUAAAUUAGACACCUAUCCCUUACCACCCAC
rnacentral:lncRNA from 1 species